rnacentral:lncRNA from 1 species
AUGGGUGUUAUCGGCAGUGGAUAUAUCUAAGCCGGUGAGCAUAAGUACAUCGGCAAUUGUAGGAGAAGCAGGGCCAUGGCCAAACACAAAAGCAUUGAGUGUGUCUGACCAAAAGUAUGAGGCAACUAUCAGUAGUGACUCAUUUCUCUCCAUAUCGGCAACAGACAAUCUAAUGCACUGAUCUAAUUUCCGUUCACCCCAUUGGACCUCAUUUGAGUUACUGACUCUUAGGAUCCAAUCCUUCCAUCCCUUGGUAGGACUGGGCUAGGAACGGAAGGCAUCUUUCCAUAGAUCUAGAGAAAAAUUCUCGGCUCUAAAAGGGAUUCUGUUUGUCUCUGCAUUUAUAAGAUCGGUGGGAUCUAAGUUUCCCAGUGGACCAAGGCAUUGGAGAUGGGGUUGAUCGGUAGGGAUUACGAUCUUAUUGGCCAAAUCCGAAAGAUUUUAAGGAUAAAAGAAAAAGAAAAAAAGGGAAUAUUCAGUAAAAGGAAUUGCGGAUGGAUAGAAAUACAGCAAGAGUACGAGAAAGAAGGGGGAUAAGCUAACCUCAGGGACGACGAAGUUGAUGGCCAUUGCCCCGCGAGGAAGAAGAUUGAAAACUUGGGGGUUGUUGGAGGAAGCUCUUACUGGAGUCCUUGGAGUUCUCAAACAGUGUCGCCGCCAGGAAAGCUGAGUUUGGGUUGUAGAAUGAUGUGAUGGAGAAGGAGUACCCGAGAAGGAAGUAUUUAUAGGACAAAACGGGCAAGGGCAAAUUUGACUUAUCUCUUCGCCACAUCCGUGAAAUCCGAGG